UAAAACGUAGGAGCCAAGCGUUAUCCGAAUUCACUGGGCGUAAAGCGCGUGCAGGCGGCCUGGUAAGUUGGAUGUGAAAUCUCCCGGCUCAACUGGGAGAGGCCGUUCAAGACUGUCAGGCUCGAGGGCGACAGAGGGAGGUGGAAUUCCGGGUGUAGUGGUGAAAUGCGUAGAUAUCCGGAGGAACACCAGAGGCGAAGGCGACCUCCUGGGUCGUACCUGACGCUGAGAUGCGAAAGCUAGGGGAGCGAACGGG
rnacentral:rRNA from 1 species